rnacentral:rRNA from 1 species
UGCGAGCGUUAAUCGGAAUUACUGGGCGUAAAGCGCAUGCAGGUGGUUUGUUAAGUCAGAUGUGAAAGACCCGGGGCGUCAACCUACCGGAAUAGCAUUUAGUAAACUAGGCAAACUAAGAGUACUGUAGAGGGGGGUAGGAAUUUCAGGUGUAGCGGUGAAAAUGCGUAGAGAUCUGAAGGAAUACCGGUGGCGAAGGCGGCCCCCUCGGACAGAUACUGACACUCAGAUGCGAAAGCGUGGGGAGCAAACAGGAUUAGAUACCCUGGUAG